rnacentral:lncRNA from 1 species
UUUUUUUUUAGUUUUGAUGUGGGUCCUAACCUAACAAGUGUUUUGCUAAAACCACCAUAAACGUUAAAACUAGUAACUGCCAGUGUUCUUUAGGAUUUUACAAAGUGAGAUGUUCCAGGUUGGAGCUACUGUUUCCUUUGAUUGCAAACGCAUUCCCACAAGUGCUUCUCAGGCCAUGUUCAAUCUCGCUUACCCGUAAGGACCAAGAUUCCACUACAUGUACGUACUCUGAUUUGCCCUGAUUCAAUGCCCCAGGAUUGGAGCUUUUAGGCUAGAUGUGCCUGCACAGGAAGCAGUUUUCAAUUCUUUUUCACGACUUACACCAGAACAAAGAAGCCAUAAGAAAGUUGCUGUGUGCCAAACCUGCGAGGAAAACCCUUAACGUACAAGAGCAACUACUUAUUUUUCCACCUCUGCAGAUUUUGUUUUUAAAAAUCAAGCUACUUCGUAGUAAAAAGUCAAAAAUUUUUUGUAUGAUAGAGGAGUGUAAAUAAAGUUCCAUAAACCAGUAUACAUGUUUAUGAGCCAGUAAUUUUAAAAAGACAAAAAAAAAAAAAAAAGCUGCAUGAAUCCUAAGUGGAUAUGUAAAUAAAUCCACUCCAGGUCAGAGAUAUUCUAAGAACAAGUCUUAAAUUCUUAAUAUAGCAAGGUUUAGAAUGAAAAUCAGAAACUGAAUGGCAGCAAUGCUAGCAGGCAGUACGGUACUCCACAUUACUUCCUACAAGAGACAGAGGAGGGGAAAAUGCACAAUUCUGAUUACUCUUUUCACAUUUCAGCAUCUCAGAACUUCAAGGAAAGCAGGGAAAGCUAAUCUAGAAACUCCCUCUGCUCAUUAUCAUUGCUGAAGAAUGUUUUGGGAAUGACAGAUUCCCUCCUCCAGGGCCAGGCUGGGUGCCAGAGAGCCCCACUCUCCCAAGCAGACUGGCUUAGUGAGGAAGUUUGACUAAAGUCAGCAAGCAAGUGGCCUCUGAGGUUCUGGCUUCAGAGUCUGGCACUGUGGAGAACCAGUGUGUGAGGGGAUUCCAGACCCCUCUCCCUAUGGGUUGUGUUGGUUACGAAUGCUAGCACUUCAGUCAUUUAAAAACCAAGACCUCCUCCUCUCUCCCACCCAACUGCAGGAAAGGAGAAAAUCAUUAAGCAUUUAUUUUUAGGUUUCUGCAGUGCUAUUAAAAGUUCAAUCAGAU